UACGUAGGGGGCAAGCGUUGUCCGGAUUUAUUGGGCGUAAAGCGCUCGCGAGGUGGUUCGCUGCGUCGUGACGUGAAAGACCGUCGGCUCAACGGUGGGGGAUGUCGUGGCGAUACGGGCGGACUGGAGGCCAGUAGGGGGAUGCGGAAUUCCGGGUGUAGCGGUGGAAUGCGUAGAGAUCCGGAAGAACACCGGUGGCGAAGGCGGCCUGCUGGGCAGUUGCUGACACUGAGCGCGACAGCGUGGGGAGCAAACAGG
rnacentral:rRNA from 1 species